rnacentral:rRNA from 1 species
GCGCGUCUCUUGUUAGACGUAGUUUUACUAGAAUAAAAGCCAACCCAUUCUUGGAGUUUUGGUGAUCCAUAGUAAUGAUACUUAAUCGUACUUAGUAUGAAACAUCGCACGAGUUUCUGCCCUAUCAGCUCCUGUUUGUAGUGUAAAGGACUACAAAGGCUUUCACGGGUGACGGAGAAUUAGGGUUCGAUUCCGGAGAGGGAGCCUGAGAAACGGCUACCACUUCUAUGGAAGGCAGCAGGCGUGCAAAUUACCCAAUCCUAAAACAGGGAGGUAGUGACAAGAAAUAACAAUAGUUGGCUUUUACAAGUUAGCUAAUUGGAAUGGGUAGGGUUUAAAUGUCCUUUCUAGGAACAAUUGGAGGGCAAGUCUGGUGCCAGCAGCCGCGGUAAUACCAGCUCCAAUAGUGUAUACUAAUGCUGCUGCAGUUAAAAAGCUCGUAGUCGAAAGUGACCUUCGAAUUCGCACCGCGUUUCAAAGAAAUGUUGCUGCGAAAAUUUCUAAGGUCAUUAUUCUGGGUAGUAUUUCUGCACUUAAUUGUGUUGGAAUUGCAGUCCAGAGCCUUUACUGUGAGCAAAUGGAAGUGUUUAAAGCAAGCUUGUAUGCUUGAACCCUUUAGCAUGGAAUAAUCAGAUAUAACUCUAGUUGUAUUUCGUUGGCUAUAACAUUGGAGUAAUGAUAUAUAGGGAUAGUUGGGGGUGCUCAUAUUCAUGGGGUAGCGGUGAAAUGCAUUGAUCCUUUGAAGAUGAACUAAUGCGAAAGCAUUCAUCACGGAUAUCUUCUUUGAUCAAGAACGAAAGUUGGGGGAUCGAAGACGAUCAGAUACCGUCGUAGUCUCAACUAUAAACGAUGCCGACUAGGAAUUGGCGAUUGUUGGUUUAUGACUCCGUCUGCACCUUUAGAGAAAUCGAAGUCUUUGGGUUCUGGGGGGAGUAUGGUCGCAAGGCUGAAACUUAAAGGAAUUGACGGAAGGGCACCACCAGGAGUGGAGCCUGCGGCUUAAUUUGUCCAACACGGGGAAACUUACCAGGUCCAGACAUAGUAAGGAUUGACAGAUUGAAGCUCUUUCUUGAUUUUAUGGGUAGUGGUGCAUGGCCGUUCUUAGUUGGUGGAGUGAUUUGUCUGGUUAAUUCCGAUAACGAGCGAGACCUCAGCAUACUAGUUAGCUGCACAAAUUUUUUAAUUUGUGAUCAGCUUCUUAGAGGGACUAUCGGUGCGUGGCCGAUGGAAGUUUGAGGCAAUAACAGGUCUGAGAUGCCCUUAGAUGUUCUGGGCUGCACGCGUGCUACAAUGAUGUAUUCAAAACGUUAGAAUUGCCUUUACCGAUAGGUGUGGGUAAACUAUUGAAAUUACUUCGUGCUGGGGCUUGAUCAUUGCAAUUAUUGGUCACAAACAAGGAAUUCCU